UAGAAGAGUCCCAAUUUCAGUGUAAUAUACAGUACAUACAUAUGCAUGUGACAUACUUUUGAAGCAUGAAUUCCCUCAGAAAGCAGUAGUCCUGACUGUAGCACUAGUGUGAGAAGCCUCUGAAGAUCCUAAAAUGUCACUUUGCUUUACUGGUAAUUGGUGACAUCCAAGUAGUACUUAACUUCAGGGGUCAGUGCAACCUGGAAUGCACAGACAGGAAGACAAAGGGGAGGAGUCUGAGCAUGUCAGCGGCAUCCACAGGAAGAGUCAUCAGGGAGUAUGUUCUCAUUAGGACCCUGAAACUCUUGGUUAUGCUCCGUGAAGCCAGUGUUCUGUACUGAAGAGCGCUUAAUAUUCAAACACCAAAGAGAUUUUAUUUCAAACCUGUCAAAACCUUCCACUUUCACAUCAAGAAAUACUAAUAAGUGGAUUUGCAUAUAUGGUAUGUGACUUUUCCCAUAUCAAUUACAGAACAGCCUCAGGAGGCAGACCUUGGAGUUUUACAAAGGUAUGGACAAUGAUAAAAGACAAUCCGGUGCCAGUCUUAGGGCCAUGGAUGUUGUUGGGAUGUUUUGCUGUGCUUUCCUGCCAAGACAAGUUGUUGGUGAAAAGCCCUUGCUCCAAGCUUUUGGUAAGAGGAAUUCCAUAUUCUUUCUUGCCGUUUAAGUCUCCAAAUAGAACAAGUUUGUCCUUUGAGAUUUUUCAAAGACCUCGGUACAUCUUUACAUGUAAAUCUUCCUUUGUUUUAAUGUCUGAAUCUAGAUAAGGGCCAUUUAAAUAAAUUAUGCAGGCCGAUUGGUUACCCGCUAAUUUCAGGAGUCAUGAUUUGCUUCUUGAUUCCAUCAGGGAACACAUGAAGCUGGUUGAUGGUUUAAAUUUUCUAUGGCAAGUCCAAGAUCCAUGAAUCUGACAUUUUUCCUCUGAUUUUCUCUUCCAGAAGAAAUCACUUCCAUGUUCUUUGACCUGCACUUCUCCAGCUCAUCAGGUUACACUUGGGGCAGUAAUGUCAAUGUCAUAGCUCA
rnacentral:lncRNA from 1 species